rnacentral:lncRNA from 1 species
GUUACUAAAUAAUUGCCACCUACUUUAACCUUCCAGAACAUUCAAGUGCGACCGUCUAGUUUUUGACAUCAAAGCACCUGGUGUCGCCUGUAUAUAGAGUUAAAUUCUUUACAAAUUUAAAUUUUGUUGUUUGGGGCAGUAUGAGGCUGUUAUUGUGUUUCUUUGUUCGACUUUCCUGGUUUUGGUAACGAGGUCGUCUGUUAAAACCAGCCAAACAUAGCAAUUAAAAAGCACUGAAAUCUUUGUUAUAAUUCAAAUUAUUUGAAUAUUGGUAUAACUGUGGUCAUAGUAUUUAUUAGUGUUCAAUGUUUCUCUCAAAAUGACGACAGGAUAUUUUAUCCCCAUGUACUGUUUCUUAAUAAGGUGCUUAUCACUAAAACAGCAAUAAAUGUCGGCAAAAGAUGUGAUAAUCUAAAGGAUAUUAGAAGCAACGGAAAAGACAAUACAACUAUUUUAAAG